UGUAAUUUGUACAGGAGAGCCAUAUAAA
rnacentral:sRNA from 1 species